CCCUUAGAUGUUCUGGGCUGCACACGUGCUACACUGGCAGGUUCAGCGAGCUUCAUGCCCUGAUCUGAAAGGAAUGGGAAAUCUUUUCAAAACCUGCCGUGCUUGGGAUAGAUGUUUGCAAUUAUUCAUCUUCAACGAGGAUUGCCUUGUAAGCGCACGUCAUCAGCGUGCAUUGAAUACGACCCUGUAUUCUGUACACACCGCCCGUCGCUCCUACCGAUUGAAGUUUUAGGUGAGUUGACAGGAGGAUUUUUUUGAAACUGGUUCGCCAGUGGAUUUUAGAUCCAAAUGCCAACGAAUCGAUGGCUUUAGAGGAAGGAGAAGUCGUAACA
rnacentral:rRNA from 1 species